CCUACGGGGGGCUGCAGUAGGGAAUCUUCCGCAAUGGACGAAAGUCUGACGGAGCAACGCCGCGUGAGCGAAGAAGGUCUUCGGAUCGUAAAGCUCGGUUGUGAGGGAAGAACAAGUACGGGAGGAACUGACCGUACCUUGACGGUACCUGACGAGGAAGCCACGGCUAACUACGUGCCAGCAGCCGCGGUAAUACGUAGGUGGCAAGCGUUGUCCGGAAUUAUUGGGCGUAAAGCGCGCGCAGGCGGUCUUUUAAGGCUGAUGUGAAAUCUUGCGGCUCAACCGCACGCGGUCAGUGGAAACUGGGGGACUUGAGUGCAGAAGAGGAAAGCGGAAUUCCACGUGUAGCGGUGAAAUGCGUAGGGAUGUGGAGGGACGCCAGUGGCGAGGGUGGCUGUCUGGUCUGUAACUGACGCUGAGGCGCGACAGCGUGGGGAGCAAACAGGAUUAGAUACCCGUGUAGUC
rnacentral:rRNA from 1 species